rnacentral:pre_miRNA from 1 species
AAAAAGGCAGACCCUAGGUUUCCGUGUCCAACUUUGACUAUCCGUUUUAUAUGAAAUUUUUUUAUAAUUUAUAUUUUUAUUGUUGUUAGAUGAUAAAACAUGAUUAAUAUUUUAUGUGUGACUUGUCUUUGUAAUUUUUUUCAUAAUUUUUUUAAACAAGAUGGAUGGUCGGAAACCAGA